rnacentral:lncRNA from 1 species
GGCGAAGGGGACGCUGCAACGCGGAGCGGGAGCACGAGGAGGGAAGGGGCUUGGCAAUGGGCCCCAAAGAGGCCGAGACCCCGGGAGUGCCGGCAGCGCUCUUUAUCACGCCUGGAGGCUCCUGCAGAGCCCCGGAACCGCCCGAACCUCCAGAAAUGCAGGCAGGGUGCACUCCCCAGGGGGUACAACUUUGGCAAUGAGGACUACAGAGGUCCGGGGAGAACCGGAGACCCGAGGAGCAUGAAGGCACUCUGUGACAUCACUGCCUACAAACGCAGGGGCCGGAAUGCAGUGACAGGACACUGCUGGGAGGAAAGUCUCCCAGCGCCUCCGUGUGGGGCUGCCUCCACUCCCAAUACCGUGCGGGGGGACUAGGACGACCCUGCAUUUCCAAUUAAUCUUGGAAUGAGAGCCGAGGGCAAGAAGCCAGCGGUGCCUGAGGGAUGCUAAAGAGCCAACCGAUCCAGGGAAACAAAUGCCAGCGAGGGACCCCACAGCAAAGAGACAGACACUGUGAGCAACUCUCCUGUUACCAUGAGGCUUGCGAGGCGUGUGUGCGGGUCUCCGCAUUGGCACCAUCUGCCAAUUCCUCAGGAGGACAGAACAAACCAGUGAGGCAUGAAGAUUAGAUUAUGUAACGCUCGAGGAUUGCUGUUUUCAAAGAGGAAACAAAUGGAAUGAAUUGAUUUGCUUGUCAAAGUCAUGUCACUAAAGGAGAUCUAUUCCCUCCCCUUCUAAGAGGACCUCAUUAAAGAGUGGAAUGAUUUCACAGAUUCAGAAAAUGUGAGACCACAAUCCACUCCAUUCAUAAGAGCAAGUCCACUUUCCAGAGUCACACUCACACAUUCUAUUCUGGUCCCCGGGCCUGAAAAAAUGUCCAUCCAGCUACAACCUAAAGGGUACUGACCUGGUGAGGAACAUAAUUGUCAGCUGCUAGCCAUAAGAUUCAGAGCCGGAGGCCAGGCGUCAUGGCUUAUGCUGGUAAUCCCAGCACUUUGGGAGGCCGAGGUGGGUGGAUCAUGUGAGGUCGGAAGUUCAAGACAGCCUGGCCAACACGGUGAAACCUCGUCUCUACUAAAAAUACAAAAAUUACCUGGGCGUGGUGGCACACACCUGUAACCCCAGCUACUUGGGAGGCCAACGCCUGAGAAUCACUUGAGCCCAAGAGGCAGAGGUUGCAGUGAGCCAAGAUCACACCACCGCACUCCAGCCUGGGGGACAGAGUGAGACGCUGUCUCAAAAAAAUAAAAAUAAAAAAUCAGAACCUGU